GAUCGAUGAGAAAAAAAACCGAUAUAUAAACCAAUCUGUCUAGAAAACAAAAUCUGUCAAUUUUACUUGUCAAUCGCAAAACAAAAUUGCAAGAACCAUACAAUCACAUAGAGAAAAGAAAGAAGAAAAAAAUUGCCAAACCUGAUGCGGCAUACAAAAAAUCGCGAUAUCAAAACCGACUAUGUAAAAUCGAAAACGGAAAAAAUCAAAUGAAAUCGUAAAUCCGCGAUGACCAGAUCAACAAUGCAAUAUCAAACAGAACGCAAUCGCCAGAGAAAAUUUCGCAACGAAAUCCUUUACCUGAAACAAAUCCACACCGAAAUCGGAGGGCUGAACCGUAAACAAUUUCAAAAAAAAAUUCGGAAAUCGGUCUGUAAACGAAAUCAGAUGAUGUUGAAAUCGAAAACGGAAAUUAAAAUAAAGAAAUCAAAGUCGGAAACUAUUUCACACGAAAUCGAAAUUGCAAAACAAAUUAAUACAGAAUGAAAUUGAUAAAUCGACUACACGGAAUUGAGCACACGGAUCAAUACGAAUAAAAAAAUGAAAUCGGAAAACGGAAUCAAUAUGAAUGCAAAACAGAUCAAUUAAUUAAAAAAAUAAUCAAAUCGGCAAUCGAUCGGCUCUGCAACGAACAGAUCCAUGUGCUGCAACGAACAAAUCCACACGCUGCAAUGAACAGAUCUACGUGCUGCAACGAACUGUAACCAGAUCCAACCGAGCAUACAAACUGCAACCAGAAUGCGAGCACAAGACUAGACGGAAACGGUGAAUUAGAAUCCGUCAGACGAACGUAAAAUCGCAAAGUCACAGAAUCGCAAGAUCAAAAUCCAAAAUCGCUCUGAUACCAUAUUAAGAGUUCAAAACUUAAUUG
rnacentral:lncRNA from 1 species